UACGUAGGUGGCAAGCGUUAUCCGGAAUUAUUGGGCGUAAAGAGCUCGUAGGCGGUUUGUCGCGUCUGCUGUGAAAACGCGAGGCUCAACCUCGCGCCUGCAGUGGGUACGGGCAGACUAGAGUGCGGUAGGGGAGAUUGGAAUUCCUGGUGUAGCGGUGAAUGCGCAGAUAUCAGGAGGAACACCGAUGGCGAAGGCAGAUCUCUGGGCCGUAACUGACGCUGAGGAGCGAAAGCGUGGGAGCGAACA
rnacentral:rRNA from 1 species